rnacentral:ncRNA from 2 species
CAAUAAAUAAUGUUCGUAUCUCGUAUAUGUUUAGAGAUUUGGUCUAAACGUUUCUACCGAACGGCCUUAAACUGUUUGACUACGGGUGUUUAUCUUAUACAU